UACGGGGGGGGCAAGGCGUUAUCCGGAUUCACUGGGUUUAAAGGGUGCGUAGGUGGGUUGGUAAGUCAGUGGUGAAAUCUCCAGGCUUAACUUGGAAACUGCCAUUGAUACUAUCAAUCUUGAAUACCGUGGAGGUCAGCGGAAUAUGUCAUGUAGCGGUGAAAUGCUUAGAUAUGACAUAGAACACCAAUUGCGAAGGCAGCUGGCUACACGAAUAUUGACACUGAUGCACGAAAGCGUGGGGAUCAAACAGG
rnacentral:rRNA from 1 species